GUGGCGAACGGGUGAGUAACACGUGAGCAAUCUGCCCUUGACUCUGAGAUAACUGCGGGAAACUGUAGCUAAUACCGGAUAUUACCUUGGAAGGCAUCUUCUGGGGUGGAAAGAAUUUUGGUCAAGGAUGAGCUCGCGGCCUAUCAGCUAGUUGGUGAGGUAAUGGCUCACCAAGGCGACGACGGGUAGCCGGCCUGAGAGGGUGACCGGCCACACUGGGACUGAGACACGGCCCAGACUCCUACGGGAGGCAGCAGUGGGGAAUAUUGCACAAUGGGCGCAAGCCUGAUGCAGCAACACCGCGUGAGGGACGACGGCCUUCGGGUUGUAAACCUCUUUUAGUAGGGAAGAAGCGACUGGGUUUUCCUGGGAGUGACGGUACCUGCAGAAAAAGCACCGGCUAACUACGUGCCAGCAGCCGCGGUAAUACGUAGGGUGCAAGCGUUGUCCGGAAUUAUUGGGCGUAAAGAGCUCGUAGGCGGUUUGUCGCGUCUGCUGUGAAAACCCGAGGCUCAACCUCGGGCCUGCAGUGGGUACGGGCAGACUAGAGUGCGGUAGGGGAGAUUGGAAUUCCUGGUGUAGCGGUGGAAUGCGCAGAUAUCAGGAGGAACACCAAUGGCGAAGGCAGAUCUCUGGGCCGUAACUGACGCUGA
rnacentral:rRNA from 1 species